CUACGGGCUGCUGCCAGUGAGGAAUAUUGCACAAUGGGGGGAACCCUGAUGCAGCAACGCCGCGUGGAGGAUGACGCAUUUCGGUGUGUAAACUCCUUUUAUAUGUCAAGAAGAUGACGGUAGCAUAUGAAUAAGCACCGGCUAACUCCGUGCCAGCAGCCGCGGUAAUACGGAGGGUGCAAGCGUUACUCGGAAUCACUGGGCGUAAAGGACGCGUAGGCGGGUUGGAAAGUCAGGUGUGAAAUCCUACAGCUUAACUGUAGAACUGCACUUGAAACUUCUAAUCUAGAGUAUGGGAGGGGGAGAUGGAAUUAGUGGUGUAGGGGUAACAUCCGUAGAUAUCACUAGGAAUACCUAAAGCGAAGGCGAUCUCCUGGAACAUUACUGACGCUAAGGCGUGAAAGCGUGGGGAGCAAACAGGAUUAGAUACCCCGGUAGUC
rnacentral:rRNA from 1 species